UUGUUGACGGUCCCUCAGCAGAAGGGUGGGGUCACUGAAAAUCCAGCGCCUGGAGCAAAGCGGAGAGGAAAAAAAAGUGUUUAGCUGCUAGCAGUGUUGCAUUUCUUUGCUGAAAUACUUCAUAUAAACCUAGUUUAAAGUUGUCGACUCUCAAUACUCGUCCUGGAUUAGCUGUCUAGUAGGGGAUGCUGGGUGUGUCAGAAAUGACGGGCAGCAAUAUGGCCAAUGCCCUGGCAAAUGCCGCAUGUGAGCGUUGUAAAAGCGGCUUUGCCCCGGCGGAGAAGAUCGUCAACAGUAAUGGCGAGUUGUACCAUGAGCAGUGCUUCGUCUGUGCCCAGUGCUUUCAGCAGUUUCCAGAGGGACUCUUCUACGAGUUUGAAGGCAGGAAGUACUGCGAGCAUGAUUUCCAAAUGUUGUUUGCUCCUUGCUGUCACCAGUGUGGUGAGUUCAUCAUUGGCCGUGUGAUUAAAGCGAUGAACAACAGCUGGCACCCUGACUGCUUCUGCUGCGACAUUUGUCAGGCAGUGUUAGCUGAUGUUGGAUUUGUCAAGAAUGCUGGCCGUCAUCUGUGUCGUCCAUGUCAUAAUCGGGAGAAGGCUCGUGGUCUUGGGAAGUACAUUUGUCAGAAGUGCCAUGCCAUCAUUGAUGAGCAGCCUCUCAUCUUCAAGAAUGACCCCUACCAUCCGGAUCACUUCAACUGCAGCAACUGCGGUAAGGAGUUGACUGCUGACGCUCGGGAGCUGAAAGGAGAGCUCUACUGUCUCCCAUGCCAUGAUAAAAUGGGAGUGCCGAUUUGUGGAGCCUGCAGAAGGCCUAUCGAAGGCCGUGUGGUAAAUGCCAUGGGCAAGCAGUGGCAUGUUGAGCAUUUUGUGUGUGCUAAGUGUGAGAAACCCUUCCUGGGUCAUCGCCAUUAUGAAAGAAAAGGGCUGGCAUACUGCGAGACUCACUACAACCAGCUUUUUGGUGAUGUCUGCUACCACUGCAACCGAGUGAUCGAAGGAGAUGUUGUGUCGGCUCUGAACAAAGCCUGGUGUGUCAACUGCUUCUCCUGUUCUACCUGCAACACCAAGCUCACGCUGAAGGACAAAUUUGUAGAGGUUGACCUGAAGCCGGUGUGUAAGCACUGCUACGACCGGCUGCCCGAGGAGCUGAAACGGCGCCUUGCUAAACGCGAACGUGAUGCUCGUGAGAAGAAGAAGAAGACGGUUGCUGUCUGUCUGUAACUCCUGUCUCCUCUUUUUCUCCACGCUCAUCCAUCUUUACUCUUUCCUUUUUUUGGGGAACAAGUUUGUGGAGUUUGACAUGAAGCCCGUGUGUAAGAAGUGCUAUGAGAAGUUUCCCCUGGAGCUGAAGAAGAGGCUGAAGAAGCUGGCUGAAACUGUGGCCCGCAAGUAGACUUCGACACCCACAGGGGGCGCCCGAGACCCAGUGAACUUUCCUGUGCUUGAUGGAAUGGAGACCAUGCAUUUCUAUAGCCUUAAUAUCCUCUUGCAUUGCUACUCAGUGGUGUUAGUUGUAUUAGUUCAGUAUUCAGUAUUACUCUUGUAUUUGAGGAAAGCCCAGUGAAUGAGGCAAAUAUUUUUCACUUAUUGCUCCAUACUUCUAAUCAGAGUGCCUCUUCAUUUAUUAUAAUUCAGGAACCAAAAGGCUUUAUGUUUGGUAGAAAUGUAUAUAAAACUUUUAUUCAGUAUAUGCAAUAAGAAGCUUCACAAUAAUCAGUGUGUGUGAUGUAAUGUGCAGUUUACACACUAGAAUGCCUUGAUGGAUUGAAUUGCCCUUCUAACAUGAUACACUGCUUUUACUGUAUAGCCAAAGUUGUUUGCCUUUAUGUAAUCCUAUUUUAUAAUGGUAUAUUCUGUGAGAAACGGGUAAAGAAAGAAUGAAAAAAAAACAAAACAAAACAAAAACCUGUUUACAUGUCUCACUUUAACUGAAAUAUAUAUUCUAAAUAUAAGUUCUAAAUCAAACUCCUACCAUGAUAUCACCUUUUUAUGUAUGUGCUAAUAUUACAGGCUUAUUAUUAUUAUUACAUGAUUGUAUUAAAAUACAGUAGGUUGGUGUUAAGGUUGUGCUUUUGGAAAAGUCCUGGCAGAUUUGAAGCUGUAAAAUCUUAAAUAUGCCAAAUGUUUUAACUGAUCAAAGGGUCCAGACUAAUAAGGACUUUAAAAAGUUCUCUAAAAAUUGUACGUACUCCUGAUGCUUUUCAGCGUUAUCAUAUGUGAAUCAUGGCCGAGUGUUAGGAAAGUAUUAGCUUCUGCAUUUGAGGAAUGACGAGUUACAGUGUGUGCAGCUGAAUGUAUCGAAUUGCUACACAUCAUUUUUUUUAUAACUUCCCUGAAAAAAAAACCAAACACACACAUAGUUCAUGUACCAGGAUUUAAUUUAAGUGUGUUUAGUGUCCCACGAGCAAGUGUGUGAUUUUUUUUUUUAUUUUUAUUUUUUACAGCAAAAUGUGAUAUGUUUUCUACAUCUUGGGCCAAAAAUCUGACAUGUUGAAAGGACCAGCAGUGUUUUUAGUUAUUUCCCCCUUUUUUUCAAACUGUAUAUUGUAGAUGAUGUUCUGGGUAUUUUUUUUUUUUGUCCACUUCAUUUGAUUUCCAUUUAAGAUUUCCACCAGUGACUUUACACAGAAUAAAAGCAAACAUAAGUAAUUACAGCUGAGCAUUAUAUGCAACUAUUCAUCUUAUUUAUGCUAUACCAUUUCACUGUAUCUCUAAUAUGCUGAUUAAUGCUUUAAACAUAUGCAAAUAAAAUAUGCACUCGUGA